rnacentral:rRNA from 1 species
UACGGAGGAUCCGAGCGUUAUCCGGAUUUAUUGGGUUUAAAGGGUGCGUAGGCGGUUUGAUAAGUUAGAGGUGAAAUGUCGGGGCUCAACCCCGAAACUGCCUCUAAUACUGUUGGACUAGAGAAUAGUUGCGGUAGGCGGAACGUAUGGUGUAGCGGUGAAAUGCUUAGAGAUCAUACAGAACACCGAUUGCGAAGGCAGCUUACCAAACUAUAUCUGACGUUGAGGCACGAAAGCGUGGGUAGCGAACAGG